rnacentral:rRNA from 1 species
GACGAACGCUGGCGGCGUGCUUAACACAUGCAAGUCGAACGGAAAGGCCCUGCUUUUGUGGGGUGCUCGAGUGGCGAACGGGUGAGUAACACGUGAGUAACCUGCCCUUGACUUUGGGAUAACUUCAGGAAACUGGGGCUAAUACCGGAUAGGAGCUCCUGCUGCAUGGUGGGGGUUGGAAAGCUUCGGCGGUUGGGGAUGGACUCGCGGCUUAUCAGCUUGUUGGUGGGGUAGUGGCUUACCAAGGCUUUGACGGGUAGCCGGCCUGAGAGGGUGACCGGCCACAUUGGGACUGAGAUACGGCCCAGACUCCUACGGGAGGCAGCAGUGGGGAAUAUUGCACAAUGGGCGGAAGCCUGAUGCAGCAACGCCGCGUGCGGGAUGACGGCCUUCGGGUUGUAAACCGCUUUCGCCUGUGACGAAGCGUGAGUGACGGUAAUGGGUAAAGAAGCACCGGCUAACUACGUGCCAGCAGCCGCGGUGAUACGUAGGGUGCGAGCGUUGUCCGGAUUUAUUGGGCGUAAAGGGCUCGUAGGUGGUUGAUCGCGUCGGAAGUGUAAUCUUGGGGCUUAACCCUGAGCGUGCUUUCGAUACGGGUUGACUUGAGGAAGGUAGGGGAGAAUGGAAUUCCUGGUGGAGCGGUGGAAUGCGCAGAUAUCAGGAGGAACACCAGUGGCGAAGGCGGUUCUCUGGGCCUUUCCUGACGCUGAGGAGCGAAAGCGUGGGGAGCGAACAGGCUUAGAUACCCUGGUAGUCCACGCUGUAAACGGUGGGUACUAGGUGUGGGGUCCAUUCCACGGGUUCCGUGCCGUAGCUAACGCUUUAAGUACCCCGCCUGGGGAGUACGGCCGCAAGGCUAAAACUCAAAGGAAUUGACGGGGCCCCGCACAAGCGGCGGAGCAUGCGGAUUAAUUCGAUGCAACGCGUAGAACCUUACCUGGGUUUGACAUGGAUCGGGAGUGCUCAGAGAUGGGUGUGCCUCUUUUGGGGUCGGUUCACAGGUGGUGCAUGCCUGUCGUCAGCUCGUGUCGUGAGAUGUUGGGUUAAGUCCCGCAACGAGCGCAACCCUUGUUCACUGUUGCCAGCACGUUAUGGUGGGGACUCAGUGGAGACCACCGGGGUCAACUCGGAGGAAGGUGGGGAUGACGUCAAGUCCUCAUGCCCCUUAUGUCCAGGGCUUCACGCAUGCUACAAUGGCUGGUACAGAGAGUGGCGAGCCUGUGAGGGUGAGCGAAUCUCGGAAAGCCGGUCUCAGUUCGGAUUGGGGUCUGCAACUCGACCUCAUGAAGUCGGAGUCGCUAGUAAUCGCAGAUCAGCAACGCUGCGGUGAAUACGUUCCCGGGGCU